CCUACGGGAGGCAGCAGUGGGGAAUAUUGGACAAUGGGCGAAAGCCUGAUCCAGCCAUGCCGCGUGUGUGAAGAAGGCCUUCGGGUUGUAAAGCACUUUCAGUGGGGAAGAAAGCCUUGGGGCUAAUACCCUCGAGGAAGGACAUCACCCACAGAAGAAGCACCGGCUAACUCCGUGCCAGCAGCCGCGGUAAUACGGAGGGUGCGAGCGUUAAUCGGAAUUACUGGGCGUAAAGCGCGCGUAGGCGGUCUGAUAAGCCGGUUGUGAAAGCCCCGGGCUCAACCUGGGAACGGCAUCCGGAACUGUCAGGCUAGAGUGCAGGAGAGGAAGGUAGAAUUCCCGGUGUAGCGGUGAAAUGCGUAGAGAUCGGGAGGAAUACCAGUGGUGAAGGCGGCCUUCUGGACUGACACUGACGCUGAGGUGCGAAAGCGUGGGUAGCAAACAGGAUUAGAUACCCUUGUAGUC
rnacentral:rRNA from 1 species